CCUGGGUGCACCACACUGCGGGAGCCUCCAAGUGUUCACCUAUCCAGAAGCUCCUCUGAAGGCUCUCCUUUUGGGUUGUUAUGGAGCCUUCAUUACAUAUGCAUGAUUGCUUAUAUUACUGGUCAUUGGUUACACUUUUAGAUAGGCUAAGUGGGUUUUUUGUUUGUUUGUUUGUUUUUGGUGAGACGAAGUCUCACUCUGUCACCCAGGCUGGAGUGCAAUGGCGCGAUCUCGGCUCAUUGCAACCUCCGCCUCCCGGGUUCAGGCCCCGCCCCUGCCCCGCCCAUCCUAUGCUCUCAGUCACUCCCGGCCUUUCCGCCCGCAACCCGCCCCUUUGCCCCGGUCCGCCCAGGCCCCGCCCCCAGCCGCCGGCGCCGUUUACUGCGCGGGCAGUUUCUUGCAAACCCGGAAGCAGAUCUCUUGGAGUGAAGGCUGUUCCUCGCCGCUAAAGGGAAGAGCUUUCCAACAGGCCCACCCACCUGUCUUGAGUCCUGCGAUCUCAACUCAGAGUUUCUUAGCCCUGCAUCUUUUCUGGUGCAGUGGGCGGCAGAGGAUCAUCUUUCCACAGGGUAGAACCCUGGAAGAAGAGGAAGAGGAAAGCAGCAAAGGAGUCAGAUGGCUCUUCCGCAGUUAGGUGACCUCGUGUCAAUUUACUUUUGGUGCUGUUUAGGCAGAACAACUCAAACACCAUGUUUCCCUCUGCUCUCCCACCAACACCACAAUCCACACAGAAGACUUCUGUGGCCACAUGCGAGGGAUUUCUCCCCACCAACAAACAGCGAGCAACCAGUUCAGUUCCAACACUGUCUGCAUGAAGAUAGUGUCAGAUCUCACAGAUUGAUGGCUCAGUUCCCAGUUGCACGUCCAGGCCUCUGAAACUUCUGACCGACCAACCUCAAGUCGAGGUUCCCAUGAACCCUUCUUUAAUUUGCUGGAGCAACUCUUACAGGUCAGAGAAACACUGAGUUUUACAGGUUGAUUAUAAAUACUAUUACAGAAGAUACCAGUGAAGAGAUGCAGAAGGUGAGGUAUGGGGAAAGGGGUGCGGAGCUUCCCUGCCCUCCCUGGGUAUGCCGUCCUCCAGGAACCUCCACGUGUCAGCCAUUUGGAAGCUCCCUGAACCCACUGCACUCCAGCCUGGGUGACAAAGCAAAACUCCAUCUCCAAAAAAACAACAAAAAGAAAUUUACAUAUUUCUACAAAAGUCAUAGCCACUUUUAUCUUUAUUUUCUCUUUUGAUUCUACCCAAAUUUCCAGUGACAAAGUCCCGAAUUCAGUGCUGAAAUUAGGCUUUGACAUGUGCUUUCUUCUAUAAGUGUGACAUUGUAAUAAAAGAAGUGAUUUGUUGUCCUUGAUAAUCUCAUUUGGCUCCUGUGUAGUUCUUUGAGAUAAUUCCCUUGCCAGCUGGUUGUUUUACAAAUGUGUGCAAACUAUAUCAUACUACUUUAUGCAAACUAUAUUAUACUACUUUAUGCAAACUAUAUUAUACUACUUUAUGCAAAGAGACAGACACUACUUUUUACUAUAUCUUUCUAGGACUUUUUAUUCUGUUUUCAGUUUAAAUUUGCUUACCCCUGAGAUUUUAAAGUCUCUUUCUUCAUAAAACACUAUUUGAACUGGAAUAUAUUAACACAUUCUGUGGCCAGUUUUGCUCGACAUCAUUUUACCCUUCAUUCUCCGACAUUCUCUUAUUUCUUGUACUUCUUUAUUUAUUUGCAUUUGUUUAUUUUUCCUUUUAUUAUUACUUUUACUUUUUUGUAGAAACAAAGUCUUGCUAUGUUGCCCAGGCUGGUCUCAAACUCCUGGGUUCAAACAAUCUGCCUGCCUUGGCCCCCCAAAGUGCUGGGACUACAGGCAUGAACCACCAUGCCCGGCCAACUUCUUUAGUUUUUAAACCUCAUUUUCAGAGUAGUUGAGAGGAUUUCAGCCACAGUGUAGCAUCUUAAAGACUGGGAAAAUUCUUUCCUAACCAGUUUAAUGACCAAGAAACUAUUCAGACCAAUCUACAUGUCAGUCAUUCACAGUAGAAUGGUAAACCAAAGAGCUGUGGGCAGCUGCUGAUACAUGUUGCACAAAAGGAUGUUGGGAAUCUCUUAGACAUUGGUACACGUUGUUACAUCAAUGAAUUCUUCCAAAAGGACCUCCCUUUCAGGACCUUGGACAGAUACACGGACUCCUUUGUGCUGAUCUCAAGACACUGAGAUUCUAAAACGAAAACUCUGAAGGCGCUUGACUAUAUAGCCUUCCUUAAUGCUUUAGCAUUCCAAACCGCCUACUUACUCUCUUUGGAAGAUUAUUCAGGGCUUUGUGAGCUGCUCUUUCAGGUAGCUUGCCUGUUGCUUAACUGAUUGCUUAGGUUUAAUUUUAAUUCCUAGACACCUGGGUACCGGUACUUGCUCUGUCAUUUUUAGCUCUUUGACCUGAGACAAGUUUCUCAGCAUGUCUGUGAAACAGCUGUCCCCACAGUAAAAUGGGAGCAGAUCUUUCUCUCCUGGGCUACAGUGUUGUACGUAUUUGUAUACAUAAAGGAUUUCAAAUGCUACCUCGCAUACGGACCUUGUUCUUAAAUCCCUAGCAUUGCUAUUGCUCUCAUCAUAGUUUUAAGGCUCCGACUUGUUUUUUCUUCAAAGCCACUGUGGAUGUUGUCACCCUUGAAGACACCACUCAUUCUCUAGGUCAUCUAGAUGCUGAAUAUUACUUGAUGUAUCAGACAUAAUAUCUAUCCA
rnacentral:lncRNA from 1 species